UAGGGAAGCAAUGGUUCUGACCAGAUGUAGUAGGACCUCUAACAGGUUCUGAGCCUCGGGCUGGAAUGUAGCCAGAGAUCCAGGCCACCAGGGUAUGGGAGGUGGGCAGGGUCAGAGCCCCAUCAAACCAGUAAUGUAAUUUGAUGAAGUUAAGAUUUCUAAAUGGUGUAGGAAAACAGCAGGAAAGCUGAAAUGGCUAAAGUUCUGCGCAGAGAACAGAGAGGUGACUCAGAAGUGAAGCAGCUUCCCAGCCACCCGCCUCAACAAGACCAAAUGACGCAAACGGGCUGGGAAAAGAGCGCACACUACCUGGUGGAAGCUUGGGCCCCGGCGCCCGCCGUAGAUGUCGUGACAAAGCCGGCGCGUUGCCUUGGCGCCCAUAAGACGCCGCCGAGCAGCCACUGUGGAUUUCAUCGGCGAGCUCCCUCGGUCACCAUGUCUGUGCUGGACGUGUUGUGGGAGGACCGCGACGUGCGCUUCGACGUGUCCUCGCAACAGAUGAAAACAAGACCCGGGGAAGUCCUCAUUGACUGUUUAGAUUCCAUUGAAGACACAAAAGGAAACAAUGGAGACAGAGGUAGACUCUUAGUCACAAACUUAAGGAUCAUCUGGCAUUCCUUGGCAUUGCCCAGAGUCAAUCUUUCUAUUGGUUACAACUGCAUAUUGAAUAUCACAACAAGAACUGCUAACUCUAAACUGCGAGGCCAAACCGAAGCUCUUUAUAUAUUGACAAAAUGCAACACUACCCGGUUUGAGUUUAUAUUCACAAACCUGGUUCCCGGGAGCCCCAGACUUUUUACUUCUGUGAUCGCAGUGCACAGAGCAUAUGAAACUUCUAAAAUGUACCGUGACUUUAAGUUGAGAAGUGCAGUCAUUCAGAACAAGCAGCUGAGGUUACUACCACAGGAGCAUGUGUAUGAUAAGAUCAAUGGCGUAUGGAAUCUGUCCAGCGACCAGGGGAAUUUAGGAACUUUUUUUAUUACCAAUGUGAGAAUUGUGUGGCAUGCCAAUAUGAAUGACAGUUUUAAUGUCAGCAUACCAUAUCUGCAAAUUAAUAGGGCUGCCAAAUGUGGCUUCUGGAAUGAAUUCAGCCUGACCCAAACAGCUUGCAAUGUGAUACAUCACGGCUUGUCACUGGAGGAGUCAUGCUCCAACUUCAGCUCCAGCCUCAGCACUGCCUUGACUCCUCCACAGUCCACAGGCCCAAGUGUGUGUGUGUGUGUGUGUGUGUGUGUGUGUGUGUGUGUGUGUGCGCGCAUUUGUGUCUUCAUAGGCCCAAGCCAUGUGUGUCUGUGUGUGUGUGUGUACAUGUAUGUAUGUGUAUUUGUGUCUUCAUAGGCCCAAGCCAUGUGUGUCUCUGUGUGUCUGUGUGACUCUACUCCACAGGACCAUGCCAUGUAUGUGUGUGUGUGUUUGUGUGUGUAUGUGUGUCCUGUCUUACUAGCUUGUGUCACUUAGAUAAGUAGAGGUUGAUGUUUGUUUUAACUUUCUAUUGCUGUAAUGAAACUCCAGGAUCAAAAGUAACUUGGGGAGAAAAGGGUUUAUUUCUGUUAUACUCCACAUCACAGUUCAUCACUGAAGAGACUGGAACCUGGAGCUGAGAACAGAAGCAGAAACCAUGGAGAUGUGCUGUUUACUGGCUUUCUCUACAAAGAAAACAGACCGUUAAGCUUUGAGCACCUAAUGGCUUUUCUAACCCAAAGUUCAAAGGCCACUACAUUCCUCCAAAAUACAUGGUCAGGUCUGUCCCAGCAGUAACCCAGGAGCUGGUACAAAUUUCUCUCUUAGUUAAGGUUUCUGUUGCUGUGUUAAACAUCCUGACCAAAAUCAAUUUGAGGAAUAAAGGGUUUCCUUACUAGAGAACAGUCUAUCACUGAGGGAAGUCAGGAUAGGAACUCAAACAAGACAGGAACCUAGAGGCAGAAACUGAUGCAGAGACCUUGGAGGGGGGCUGCUGGCUUGAUCCUCAUGGCUUGCUCAGCCUGCUCUCCUAUAGAACCAGCCCUGAGUAGCACCAACCACAAAACAUAGAUCAUGGAUCAAGGAAAUGCUACACAGGCUUGCCUAUAGGCCAUGGGUGGGGACAUUUUCUCAGUUGAGGUGCCCUCUUCCCAGAUGACCCUAACUGUGUCUAUUUGACAAAAACACAACCAAGACAAAGUGUGAGAAACAGAAUGGUACGGAUAACUUUAAUCUUGCUUUAGGAGCCACGAAGGACACUGGCGCCUCAUAAGUGGAAGAUCGUCAGCCUUUUGUGUGAAAGUCAGAAACCCUGUUGACUCUACAGAGUUGGGAAUAUCUGUGUAUGGCUUUUUUCAGUUUACCACCUGUCUUCACAUUGCUGUUUACUGAUUCCUGCAGGAAGAGGGUAAAUGAGGGGCCUCUAAUCCUUAGACUAUGAAAAGUAGUGGGUGUGGUGAUUCACACCUAUAGUCCUUAGCACUCAGAGGCUAAAGCAGGAGGAUUGCUCAGAGUUCCAGGCCAGCCUGAGGCACAUACCCUGCUUCAAAAGCCAGGACUAUAGCACAAUACAUAAAAAGUAUGUAUUAAAAAGUUGCUACUAUCAGAUAAUAAUGUGCAUGUUUUUUCUUUUUCAUUUUAUACAGCGUUCAAUAAAGAUCAGAGAUUCAAAAUUUGGUUUGGCGCUUGUCAUAGAAAGCUCUCAGCAGAGUGGAGGAUACGUCCUUGGCUUUAAAAUAGACCCUGUGGAAAAACUACAGGAAUCAGUUAAAGAGAUCAACUCACUUCACAAAGUCUAUUCUGCCAGUCCAAUAUUUGGAGUGAAUUAUGAAAUGGAAGAAAAGCCACAGCCACUUGAAGCUCUGACUGUUGAACAAAUUCAAGAUGAUGUGGAAAUAGACUCUGAUGACCACACGGAUGCUUUUGUGGCGUAUUUUGCUGAUGGGAAUAAGCAACAAGAUCGUGAACCUGUAUUUUCAGAAGAACUGGGGCUUGCAAUAGAGAAACUGAAGGAUGGAUUCACACUGCAGGGACUUUGGGAAGUGAUGAGUUGAUCUUGAGUUGUUGGAUUCACACUGCAGGGACUUUGGGAUGAGUUAAUCUUGAAUGAGUUGAGCUGGACCUCUAUUUAAAGAUAUCUCAAGAUUAAAAGAUACUGCUUGCCUGCUAUAUAGGCUUGGGAUAUUUUAUAUAUUCAUAGCUUUUAUAUUUUAUAUUUUAAGACGUUUUUAAUUAUUAAGGAAAAACUCCUUAAUUUUAGAAAACUGUCAGUUUUCUAAAAAUUAUAUUUAAAAUUGCAACUGAAGUGUACCUCGUUUACAAAUGUUAAUAUUGUACCUAAUACUUGUAAAAAUAUUGAUUUUCAGAUAUUAAGUGAUUGUAUCAUGUUGGAUUUAAUAAAGACUUUUAUGCAGCACUAA